UACGGAGGGGGCUAGCGUUGUUCGGAAUUACUGGGCGUAAAGCGCGCGUAGGCGGACCUGCAAGUCGGGGGUGAAAGCCCGAGGCUCAACCUCGGAACUGCCUUCGAUACUGCGGGUCUCGAGUCCGGGAGAGGUGAGUGGAAUUCCUAGUGUAGAGGUGAAAUUCGUAGAUAUUAGGAAGAACACCAGUGGCGAAGGCGGCUCACUGGCCCGGUACUGACGCUGAGGCGCGAAAGCGUGGGGAGCAAACAGA
rnacentral:rRNA from 1 species